GCUCAGGAUGAACGCUAGCGGGAGGCCUAACACAUGCAAGCCGAGCGGUAGAGUCUCUUCGGAGACUUGAGAGCGGCGUACGGGUGCGGAACACGUGUGCAACCUGCCUUUAUCAGGGGGAUAGCCUUUCGAAAGGAAGAUUAAUACCCCAUAAUAUUCUGAAUGGCAUCAUUUAGAAUUGAAAACUACGGUGGAUAGAGAUGGGCACGCGCAAGAUUAGAUAGUUGGUAGGGUAACGGCCUACCAAGUCUACGAUCUUUAGGGGGCCUGAGAGGGUGAUCCCCCACACUGGUACUGAGACACGGACCAGACUCCUACGGGAGGCAGCAGUGAGGAAUAUUGGACAAUGGGUG
rnacentral:rRNA from 1 species